rnacentral:rRNA from 1 species
CCUACGGGUGGCAGCAGUGGGGAAUAUUGGGCAAUGGGCGCAAGCCUGACCCAGCAACGCCGCGUGAAGGAAGAAGGCUUUCGGGUUGUAAACUUCUUUUCUCAGGGACGAAGCAAGUGACGGUACCUGAGGAAUAAGCCACGGCUAACUACGUGCCAGCAGCCGCGGUAAUACGUCGGUGGCAAGCGUUAUCCGGAUUUACUGGGUGUAAAGGGCGUGUAGGCGGGAAGGCAAGUGAGAUGUGAAAACCAUGGGCUCAACCUGUGGCCUGCAUUGGAAACUGUUUUUCUUGAGUACGCGGGAGGCAGACGGAAUUCGUAGUGUAGCGGUGAAAUGCGUAGAUAUGACGAGGAACACCGGUGGCGAAGGCAGUCUGCUGGAGAGCAACUGACGCUGAGGCGCGAAAGCGCGGGGAGCGAACAGGAUUAGAUACCCGAGUAGUC